GGGGGUAUGGCUCAAGUGGUAGAGCAUCUACCUAACACUUACCUAAGUAAUAGGAAGGCCCUGAGUUCAAAUCCCAGUUCCACUA
rnacentral:tRNA from 1 species